rnacentral:rRNA from 1 species
UGGGGAAUUUUGGACAAUGGGGGCAACCCUGAUCCAGCCAUUCCGCGUGAGUGAAGAAGGCCUUCGGGUUGUAAAGCUCUUUUGUUCGGGACGAAACGGUUUCACCUAAUACGUGAGACUACUGACGGUACCGGAAGAAUAAGCACCGGCUAACUACGUGCCAGCAGCCGCGGUAAUACGUAGGGUGCGAGCGUUAAUCGGAAUUACUGGGCGUAAAGCGUGCGCAGGCGGUUUUAUAAGCCAGAUGUGAAAGCCCCGGGCUCAACCUGGGAAUGGCAUUUGGGACUGUAAGGCUGGAGUAUGGCAGAGGAGACUAGAAUUCCUGGUGUAGCAGUGAAAUGCGUAGAUAUCAGGAGGAAUACCGAUGGCGAAGGCAGGUCUCUGGGCCAAUACUGACGCUCAUGCACGAAAGCGUGGGGAGCAAACAG